CUCGGGUAGCAUUCCGAUCCUUCGGUGGUUCCUCUUCUGUGGAGGCGUUGUCGUAGGGUCGGAUGCUCCUCGUCUUGCGGUGGGACGACGCAUGAGUGGCUCUCAGGGUACGAUCCCACAGCAGGCUCCAUGUUCUCGGCAUCGAACUGCUUUGGUCUAUCCGUUUCAUUUGUUUGUUCGCCCCGUCCCUAUCAGGGUCGGUUGCGACCUCUCCGUGGGUCCCUGUUCUUGUUAUCGUGAUGUGGCAAUCGGUUGACUUUGCUGUCCCCGCAUUUGCUCCCCUCGGUUCCCCUACGCCUAAUUUGUGGUGGGGAAUACCGUGCGGGCGUCUACGUUCUCCAUCCGAGCCGUUGUCCCCGUGUGGGCGCUCCGUCUCGUGAUGGUGCGUGGAUGCUUUCGGCUUGCUCUUUGGUACGGAUGAUUCGUUGGGCUUCGCUACGGUCUAUGACGGCCGGGGCGAGAUCCCGAUGUGUACAAUGCAUCAACGCUUCUGCUUGCGUGACCCUCGUGCCUCCUUAGGCGGUCGCGGGACUUUUGCGUCCCGUGUUCGUCCUGCGGAGGCAUCGAGGUCUAUGGAGGAAUGCUACCUGGUUGAUCCU
rnacentral:misc_RNA from 1 species